GGCUUCGAAGCGCUGUUCAUAAUGCAGUUUGGUACAAAGAGUAAAAAAAAAUUUAAUUAAACACAUACAAUGACUAUAUUAUUGCAUGUAUUAAAUCAGUUCUACAUUACACCUUGUAUGAUCAGCGGCAACACUAAAUAUACUACUAUAUGUAUUAAUGUUUAUUAAGUUAAGGAUUACACCCACCCAUUUCUCCGCCUGCAUUAGCUCAACAACUCAGGGAUAGCGAAUGUUGCACUUGCUCUGCAAAACAAGCCACCCGUCCAAACGAGUGAUUUCAUAAAAUGCCCGGCUGUAGCGCUGAAACGAUGCGUUUCGCUCGGAGAGUGCGCGGAUCAUCCCCGCCUGGCUCGUCGCGCUUGGCGUAGGGGCGGGCACACGGGUUGCCCCGGGCUGCAGGUGAGGCGCGCUUCAUUCCCGGAAGGCCGUGCGUCAGCCACAUACAGGUAGCGGGGUCACCCGAGGUUUCUUCUCUCAGUUGCUUGCUUUCUAUCCUUCCUUCCUCCCUCUAGGAUUUUUUUAAUAGGCGUGUUCUCAGGUAGCCCGGCUGGUUCCACGACCAAAAGAAUGCCGGUCAUCCUCCUGUUGCCCUGCUGAUCGGGCGGGUAGAUGAGGCCUCCUAGAGUUCACCUGGACAGGGGUUUGGACGAAGGCCUGGGAAUGAGCGACUUCUGGCUGUAUGUUUGGCUGCGUAGGACGGCGGUGAUCGCUGCGCACGUGUUGUCGCUUGGCUUCACCAUCUUCAUGAGUCUGCUGUCACGACCAGGCACCAGUCUGUUUUCAUGGCACCCUAUAUGUAUGUCUGUUGCAUUUUGCUUGUGCAUGACAGAAGGCAUCCUACUCUUCUCCAGUGAAGGCUCUCCUUUCUGUUUUCAGUCUACAAAGGGAAAGGUUCGACUGCACUGGGUGCUCCAAGCUGUUGUGGUUAUGUCUAGUGUUACUGGACUGGCAUUCAUUAUAGCUAGCAAGAAUCUGUCAGAGCGGCCUCAUCUCGUAUCUUGGCACAGUCUUGUUGGUGUAGGCACCAUGGUAGCUACAGGGUGUCAAGUUCUAUGUGGCGUCUGCCUUCUGUUUCCAAAACUUCUGAAAAUCACAUCUGUGGCGCGGCUUAAGCUCUACCAUGCUACCUGUGGUCUGGUGACUUACUUGUUGGCCACAACCACAGUUGUCCUGGGCAUGUGCUCAGACUGGUUUCAGGCUACAUUCAAGGGAGUUAUUUGAUAACCACAAGGGGGAACUAGUGAUUGUCCUCAUCUGGCAAGAAGUUUGUUUCUUGGACAGACAGUUCUAACUUGCAGUGGAUACCUGUCACUACAUGACAUGAUUCCUUGGCAUUGAGGGAAGGCAGGUCGAGGGUUCAUUAGAUGUCAGUUCUCAUACACAGAAGAGCCCUCCCCAAGAGUGGUGACUGGACUGAUUUUGUAGUAGCAAGCCAAAGAGCACUAUUAUGUCACACUACAUGAAAGAUUCCUGCAGGGCUUCAUGGGAGUUUCCUGCAGCCUUGUUGAGUUCUGUGGUUGCCACCAGGGGGAGCUGUCGAGGUCUCACAACCCUGCUACAUUGGACUUUCACUACAGUUAGAAGUGAUUCUAGAUCUGGCCAACAAACCACCUGGAGCAGCAUAAAAGGAGCCGCCUCUCUUCACUCUUGGGGAGACAUAGUCGGGUGGAGGUGGAAAGAGGAAGAGAAAUAUCAAUCAAUCAACAUUUAUUUAUAUAGCACAUAUUCAUACAAAAAAUGUAGCUCAAAGUGCUUAAAUAGAAGAAAGAGGCACUGUGUAUUAGUACUGCAGUGAGUAAAGAGGGAAAAGCACUUCCCCAUUUUAAUAAAUGUGUGCUGUGUGGCAAAACUUGUAUCUGUGUCUGUCUGUGUCAUGGUUUAGGUGGCUAGAGUGCCCCCUGGUGGCCAAAAUACUGAAAACACUGCUUUGAUACUUGGCAGUAUUUUGGGUACCCUCUCAGGUAACACUUGGUAUACUCUGUUCAGGUGGCAUGCAGUAGCCCAGCAUGCUAUUGUAUGGCUUUAUAAUGGUUUCCUUAUUUUAGAUCACUAGCUGUAGACUUUUCUGUUUUUGUUUCUUUCUUGUCUGAUCUUCCUUCAUCCCUACUGUUCUCACUUUCCAAGUUCUAGCUUUUUUGCAAGUAAAUGUAAAAGAUUUUAUGAAAUUACAUCCAGAAUUUCUUUACGUUAUAAUUGUGUGUCCACUGGAAGUUACCUGAAGUUGCUUUCCUCAGCUGUUGUGCAGUCUUCGGCUUAUCGCUCUCUUGCUGCUCUGCAGUGUUUCAUUGACUCAACUGAAUUUCUCUGCCUCCUUCAUUCUUACAACACCUGUAGACUGUCAGUUUUCUGCAUGAUCCAAGUGUCAAUAUUUUCAUAUUUUAUACUUGCAGUCCCAAGGCUGACAGUAUCUACAUUUUGAAGACCUCUGUACAGCACAUUAAAAAACCAUAGUCUGUCUCUCUGGGUCAUUUUCUCUGGUGCUUAUCCACCCACAUGUCCUCCAUUCUUACAAUAUCCACUCUUCUCAUGACUCCCCUGCCUUCCAUUACUAUUUAUUGUGGUUGAGUUGAUUUUAAACAAAAUCCUUUUUCUGUGCCUCAGGAUUUUAGUAAAACACUGUGUAAAAACGCAUUAAAAACCCAAGAUGAAAACGAGAACUGUUUACAUUAACCAGAACGCUUACUGAUAUAAAGAGUCUAUAAAGGAUAUCUCAAUCAAGCUCCUUGAGAAUUCUGGCCUUGAAUCAUGGUGUAGAGAAUUAAACCUCAGCCUAGCAAAUAGUUAGAUGACAACCAGAUUGCACUUUUUAAGUUGACUUAUACAAUUAAAACAUGGAAUAGUACAAGCUGUGGCAAGGUACUGAAAACCUAAGGCUGCUGCAAUAUUCCACAAAAACAGCAGGUGGCAGCAAUUCCAUAUUCUUAUUCAAUAUAUAAUUAAGACUUUGUCCUUAAUAUCCAUCCAUUAUCCAACUCGCUAUAUCCUAACUACAGGGUCACGGGGGUCUGCUGGAGCCAA